AUGGCAUUGAGCUGGCUAUCCCUCAGCACUCCCUCCUCACUUCUGCCUCGCUGAUACCCUCUCUUCCUCAAAGGGGCCAGCACAAGACUUUGAUGUAUCUGCUUGGAGGAUGUGACCCUAGAGAUAAGCUGAUAUCUGCUGCUCAGGCAUUCAGGACCAGAUGGGCUGCUACCUGUAUGAUGCUUCACCUCCAACCUUCAUGUUUUAAGCAAGGGCUCCCCCAGUCCAGCCUGCAUCCCUUCCUCAUCUCUAUCCUGAAGGAUCCCUAGCUCGCUUCAAAGUAA